GCUUCUUCAGGCAUUUCCAUCAAUUAAAAACUUCAGUCAACUCAUGCGUGUGAAACAGAGGGAAAAGUCUUGCCUAAUAAAAGAACUACUUAGUACUGAAUUUCCAAGCUUAUUCAAGUUCACUUUUAUGAGUACAUCAAUCUCUGCAGUCUGAGGCAACUCAGGAGGAGUAAUGGAGGUUGCUCCUGUAGAUCCUUUGGAUCCUUCUCUCCCACACUCAGCUCUUUACCAGGAAAGCAGUCUCUCUUCUAAAGGCAACUGGGAGAGAACAAGGACAGAGAGGUGUUCAGUAGCACAGGAGCUGCAUUUGUGUUUUAAGUUCUGAGUCAAUCAAGGAAAAAAGUGGAAGGAAAAGAAACAUGUAAGUAUGGAGAAUGGAUAGUAUAGCAUACGUAGUAUACACAUCGUAUAAGGCUACGUAACUAGUAGUUUAUGCAUAAAGCACAUAGUGCAGCUAUCCAUAACUCUUGAGAAAACAAGGUAUACUUAGCUACU
rnacentral:lncRNA from 1 species